GGCGUAGGGCGCGAGCGUUGUCCGGAUUUAUUGGGCGUAAAGAGCUCGUAGGCGGCUUGUCGCGUCGUCCGUGAAAACCCACAGCUCAACUGUGGGCUUGCGGUCGAUACGGGCAGGCUCGAGUUCGGUAGGGGAGACUGGAAUUCCUGGUGUAGCGGUGAAAUGCGCAGAUAUCAGGAGGAACACCGGUGGCGAAGGCGGGUCUCUGGGCCGAUACUGACGCUGAGGAGCGAAAGCGUGGGGAGCGAACAGG
rnacentral:rRNA from 1 species